AGCGAACGCUGGCGGCAGGCCUAACACAUGCAAGUCGAACGAACUCUUCGGAGUUAGUGGCGGACGGGUGAGUAACACGUGGGAACGUGCCUUUUGGUUCGGAAUAACUCAGGGAAACUUGUGCUAAUACCGAAUGUGCCCUUCGGGGGAAAGAUUUAUCGCCAUUAGAGCGGCCCGCGUCUGAUUAGCUAGUUGGUGAGGUAACGGCUCACCAAGGCGACGAUCAGUAGCUGGUCUGAGAGGAUGACCAGCCACACUGGGACUGGGACACGGCCCAGACUCCUAGGGGAGGGGGGAGUGGGGGAUCUAGCGAAACGGGGGAAGGCCUGAAGGACCCAGGACGGGAAAAUGAUGAAGGUCUUAGGGUAGUAAAAUUCUUUAACCGGGGACGAUAAUGACGGUACCCGGAGAAGAAGCCCCGGCUAACUUCGUG
rnacentral:rRNA from 1 species